rnacentral:rRNA from 1 species
AGGAAGAACUACAGGAUUCCCCUAGUAACUGCGAGUGAAGCGGGAAAAGCUCAAAUUUAAAAUCUGGUGGUCUUUGGCCAUCCGAGUUGUAAUUUAGAGAAGCGUCUUCCGCGCUGGACCGUGCACAAGUCUCCUGGAAUGGAGCGUCAUAGAGGGUGAGAAUCCCGUCUUUGGCACGGAUGUACCAGGGCUUUUGUGAUGCGCUCUCGAAGAGUCGAGUUGUUUGGGAAUGCAGCUCAAAAUGGGUGGUGAACUCCAUCUAAAGCUAAAUAUUGGCGAGAGACCGAUAGCGAACAAGUACCGUGAGGGAAAGAUGAAAAGCACUUUGGAAAGAGAGUGAAACAGUACGUGAAAUUGUUGAAAGGGAAACGCUUGAAGUCAGUCACGUCGACCGAGACUCAGCCUUGCCUCGGCUUGGUGUAUUUCUCGGCUGACGGGUCAGCAUCAAUUUUGCCCCUUGGAUAAUGGCGAGGGAAAUGUGACACCUUUACGGUGUGUUAUAGUCUCUCGUCGCAUGCAAGGGUCGGGAUUGAGGAACUCAGCACGCGCCCUCGGGCGUCGGGGCUUUGCCCACGAUACGUGCUUAGGAUGUUGGCGUAAUGGCUUUAAACGACCCGUCUUGAAACACGGACCAAGGAGUCUAACAUGCCUGCGAGUGUUCGGGUGGAAAACCCGUGCGCGCAAUGAAAGUGAAAGUUGGGACCUCUGUCGUGGAGGGCACCGACGCCCGGACCAGACCUUCUGUGACGGUUCUGCGGUAGAGCAUGUAUGUUAGGACCCGAAAGAUGGUGAACUAUGCCUGAAUAGGGUGAAGCCAGAGGAAACUCUGGUGGAGGCUCGUAGCGAUUCUGACGUGCAAAUCGAUCGUCAAAUUUGGGUAUAGGGGCGAAAGACUAAUCGAACCAUCUAGUAGCUGGUUCCUGCCGAGUUUUCCCCCUAGGAAA